GCUGGCGUAUAGAGUUGAUCUGGCUCAGUAAGUCGUAACAAGGUGCCGUAAUAGAGUUUGAUCUGGCUCAGUAAGUCGUAACAAGGUGCCGUAAUAAAGUUUGUUCUUGGCUCAGAAAGUCGAAACAGGGUGCGGCAAAAAAGUUUUUUUGGGGCUCCUUAGGACCUCACACGGUCCGAUAAAACUAUGUCGGAUUACCUAGUUGGUGGGGUAAAGGCCUACCAAGGCGACGAUCCGUAACUGGUCUGAGAGGAUGAUCAGUCACACUGGAACUGAGACACGGUCCAGACUCCUACGGGAGGCAGCAGUGGGGAAUAUUGGACAAUGGGCGAAAGCCUGAUCCAGCCAUGCCGCGUGUGUGAAGAAGGUCUUCGGAUUGUAAAGCACUUUAAGUUGGGAGGAAGGGCAGUAAGUUAAUACCUUGCUGUUUUGACGUUACCAACAGAAUAAGCACCGGCUAACUUCGUGCCAGCAGCCGCGGUAAUACGAAGGGUGCAAGCGUUAAUCGGAAUUACUGGGCGUAAAGCGCGCGUAGGUGGUUCAGCAAGUUGGAUGUGAAAAUCCCCGGGCUCAACCUGGGAACUGCAUCCAAAACUACUGAGCUAGAGUACGGGUAGAGGGGUGUGUGGAAUUUCCUGUGUAGCGGUGAAAAUGCGUAGAUAAUAGGGAAGGAACACCAGUGGCGAAGGCGACCACCUGGACUGAUACUGACACUGAGGUGGCGAAAGGCGUGGGGGAGCAAACAGGAUGAGAUACCCUGGUAGUCCACGCCGUAACCAUGUCGACUAGCCGUUGGGAUCCUUGAGAUCUUAGUGGCGCAGCUAACGCGAUAAGUCGACCCGCCCUGGGGAGUUCGGCCGCAAGGUUAAACCUCAAAUGAAUUUGACGGGGGGCCCGCACAAGCCGGUGGAGCCAUGUGGUUUAUUUUCGAAGCAACGCGAAGAACCUUUACCCUGGGCCUUAGAUAUGCUGAGAAACUUUUCCAAAGAAUGGAUUGGGUGCCUUUCGGGAAAUCUAAAACACAGGGUCCUGCAAGGGCUUGUCCUCAGCUCGUGGUCGUGGAGAAUAGUUGGGGUUAAGUCCCGUAAAACAGAGCGCAACCCCCUUUGUCCUUUAGAUUACACACGCACCUUUCGCGGUGGGCACACUCUAAGGACAUCUCGUGCCGUUGGAUAAUAACUCGGAGAAAGAAGGUUGGGGCAGUAUUGUAGUAGAC
rnacentral:rRNA from 1 species